UACGUAGGGCGCAAGCGUUGUCCGGAAUUAUUGGGCGUAAAGAGCUCGUAGGCGGUUUGUCGCGUCUGCUGUGAAAACUCGAGGCUCAACCUCGGGCUUGCAGUGGGUACGGGCAGACUAGAGUGCGGUAGGGGUGACCGGAAUUCCUGGUGUAGCGGUGGAAUGCGCAGAUAUCAGGAGGAACACCGAUGGCGAAGGCAGGUCACUGGGCCGCAACUGACGCUGAGGAGCGAAAGCAUGGGGAGCGAACAGG
rnacentral:rRNA from 1 species